GCUACUCAGCGGCAGAGCUCUCUGCCUCUCUUCAAAGUAAAGUUGAUCAAAUAUCGCGACGACAGACUACUAUAUCAUCAUCCUUCCAACUAGAAAUCUGUCAUGUCUCACACAUUGUUUUUCCCUCGAUUAUCAAAUACCUUCCAUUUUUCUUGUAAUUCCGGCCAGAUUGGUAAACCAAUAUUAUCUUCUCAUCCACCAACAGCUAAUUUAACUCCCCCUUCCACACAAUUCUCCACCAUCAAUGACGAAAACAACAUCAGGAGCAGCAGUGGCAUUGAACCCAAAAAUGAGGAAUUAUCCUUAUCAUCAUCAAAGCCUUCUACUUCAAAACCAUGUUCAGUUAUCAAAGCCCCAACUGCUCCAUGGAUGCAGGGUCCUCUUCUUGUUGAACCCAAUCAAUUCUUAAACCUCUCUGAUAGACCAAGAAGCAAAAAAGGCUCAAACUUUGGCAGAAUUGAAGACCACCACCCUGAUCAGGCUCUGACUGGUAAAAUGGGUGCUGGGAGAGGCAAGAAAGAAAUGAAGAAGAUUUUUAAAGGCAUUAAGAAACUUCAGGACAGCAAAAGUUUAGAAAAAACCCACAAAAAACCAGAAAUGGUAAAGUUCAUAUUCUCACCUGGAGAGCUCUCGAGAGGUGGGGACUCUACAUCUGUUGAGGGAUUUAUAUCCGAGAGGGAAGAUGAAAAGAUGCACGCUCAGAAGAUUGUGGAAGAAUCUGAGGUUGGUUUUCAACUGGGAAAGGUUGAAGGUGAAGGGAAGGCAAAAUUUGGCGGCAAAAUGCCAUGGGAUAGGGGUGAGAAGUUGGUGACUUGGAAGGUGAAGAAGGAGAAGGUAGUGACUGCUGCUGAGUUGAGCCUUGAUGAGGAAUUGCUCGAUAGGUUGAGGGAUGAGGCUUCAAGGAUGAGGAAAUGGGUGAAGGUUAUGAAAGCUGGAGUGACUCAAGAGGUUGUUCAUCGAGUUCAUGCUAUUUGGAAGAACAAUGAACUUGCAAUGCUCAAGUUUGAUCUUCCCUUGUGUCGAAACAUGGACCGAGCACAAGAAAUUCUUGAGAUGAAAACUGGAGGAGUUGUAGUGUGGAGAAAGCAACAUGCUCUUGUCAUUUACAGAGGGGGCAAUUAUUUGUCAGCUUUGAAAACCUCCUUUGAUAACUGUUGUCGAGACACGAUUAUUGCCUCUGAAGUUAACUCUAGUGAACAUGGUCUGGUUGGAAUGAUGAGCGAAAUGGAUAAGAAAGAGGAGAAUGUACUGAUGAAUGGGUCACUUUAUGAGAAGGAAGCUGAUAGAUUGUUGGAUGGCUUAGGACCUCGCUUUCUUGACUGGUGGUGGAGAAAGCCUUUGCCAGUAGAUGGUGAUUUGCUUCCUGAAGUGGUACCUGGAUUUAUGCCUCCAUUUAGGCUCUGCCCUCCCCAUGCUAGAUCACAGCUGACAGAUGAUGAACUUACGUACUUAAGGAAGCUUGCUCGCCCAUUGCCAACUCAUUUUGUACUGGGAAGGAAUAGAAAACUUCAUGGCUUGGCUGCAGCAAUUUUGAAACUUUGGGAGAAAUGUCAUAUUGCAAAAAUUGCUAUCAAGUGGGGAGUUCCAAACACAGACAAUAAGCAAAUGGCCUAUGAGCUUAAGUGUCUCAGUGGAGGAAUUCUGUUAUUACGCAAUAAGUUUCUUAUAAUCCUUUAUAGAGGGAAGGACUUUCUUCCUUCUCGAGUUGCAGAAGUAGUAACAAUAAGAGAAAUGGAGCUCACAGAAUGUCAACUUAUGGAAGAAAGUGCACGGCUAAGAGCAAGUGAAACUGUUACUCAGAUACCAUCAAGCAAGUCUGCUAACAGUGGAACUUUAUCAGAAUUCCUCAGAAUUCAAUCAAAACAUUUGGGCCUUGGACAUGGAAACAGCAAGGCGGAAGUUGAACUGGAAGCUGAGAAGGAACAACUAGAAAGGGAACUGAGAGAUCAGCAGCGCAAGCUUUUUCUUCUCAAGAAGAAGAUAGAGAAAUCAGCCAAAAGAUUAGCAGAUCUAAAUUCAUUGCGGAGACCUGCAGAACAAGAUACAGAUCAGGAAAUGCUGACACAAGAGGAGAGAGAGUGUCUCCGAAAAAUGGGGUUAAAAAUGGUCAGCAGCUUAGUUCUUGGAAGGCGUGGGGUUUUCAAUGGUGUAAUAGAGAGCCUGCAUCAGUACUGGAAGCACAGAGAAAUAGUAAAGGUGAUUACAAUGCAGAAAAUGUUCUCCCAAGUGGUUUAUACUGCCAAAUUUCUUGAGGCUGAAAGUGGAGGGAUACUGGUCUCUGUUGACAAGCUUAAAGAAGGACAUUCCAUCAUUCUGUAUCGUGGAAAAAAUUACAGACGCCCAAAGUUGGCACCUUUAAAUCUUCCAAGUAGGAGAGAAGCAUUGUCCAGGUCCCUGGAGAUUCAGAGAAUUGGUUCUCUGAAGUUCUUUGCACGUCGAAGAGAGCAGGCGGUAUCUGAUUUGCAAUUCAAGCUGGCAAAGUUAAUGCAGAGGAAAAUUGAUUUGAUGGGAAUAUCUGAAACUGGAAAGGAUGAGACUGCAGCGCCACAAGAAAAUAUAUCAGUUUUACCUUCUCUGCUAAGAUCUCAUGUUUUAUGAGGUUUGGUUUCUGGAAAUAUUGGAUUGCUGCUUCUUUGAGUCGAAGCUGUCAGAAUAUGUACAGAUGGUUUUCAAUUUUUCUUCCAGCAAGGGCUUUCAAUGCUGAGGCAAAUUAUGAGGAUUUUUUGGUGACUUGCUGUACGUUGAGACUAAAAUCUUAUUUUGUCAAAAAUAUUCUUCAUGUAGCUCUUCCGGUUCUGUGCAUUUACAAAGUACAAGAAUUGCAUACGCUAAAAGCUCAAAAAUGUUAAACUAAUGGAAGGACCACAAAGAAAAGUGUCGUAGUUAUUAGUUGCAGCCAAGAUUUGUUAGGGUUUUGUAGGAUUCAUUGAUUGUUAAUAGUAGUUCAUUUGCUUCAGAUGCUGGAAAAAAUCUUUACAUUUUUAGUUUUUAAUUAUUAAUUUUACAGCUUAUUAACUUCCAUAUACUCAAUUACUACGCUAAAGAAGCAUAAGAGGGUACUUUAGAUUACAUUUGCAUUGCCAGCAAUACCUCUUAAAACUAAAACCUGUUUCACUUAU